GACGAACGCUGGCGGCGUGCUUAACACAUGCAAGUCGAACGAAGUGGCGAACGGGUGAGUACUACGUGGGUAACCUGCCCUCCUUUUUGGGAUAAGCCUUGGAAACGGGGUCUAAUACCGACUAAAGGGGGAUGGGCUCGCGGCCUCUCAGCUUGUUGGUGGGGUGUUGGCCUACCAAUGCGGUGACGGGUAGCCGGCCUGAGAGGAGGACCGGCUGCAUUGGGGCUGAGAUACGGCACAGAAUCCUACGGGAGGCAGCAGUGGGGGAUAUUGCAAAAUGGGCGAAAGCCGGAUGCAGCGACGCCGCGUGGGGGAUGAAGGCUUGCGGGGUGUAAACCUCGUUCGCGAUCGAACGGGUAAGGAGGGAAGAAGCGCCGGCUAACUACGUGCCAGCAGCCGCGGUAAUAC
rnacentral:rRNA from 1 species